rnacentral:rRNA from 1 species
UACGUAGGGUGCAAGCGUUGUCCGGAAUUAUUGGGCGUAAAGAGCUCGUAGGCGGUCUGUCGCGUCUGCUGUGAAAACUCGGGGCUUAACCCCGGGCCUGCAGUGGGUACGGGCAGACUAGAGUGCGGUAGGGGAGACUGGAAUUCCUGGUGUAGCGGUGAAAUGCGCAGAUAUCAGGAAGAACACCCGUGGCUAAGGCGGCUCUCUAGUACGGUACUGACGCUGAGACGCGAAAGCGUGGGGAGCGAACAGG